AUAUAUUGUGCACUUACAGAGGAACAAUGAGAUGGCAGGAUGGACGUAUCUACACGGGGAACUUUAAAAAUGGACUGGAGGAUGGCUAUGGCGAAUGCAUGAUUCCUGACAAACUGCUGAAUAAAGCAGGUUGCUAUCAAGGACAGUGGCGAGAUGGCAAGAUACAUGGCUUUGGCAUCUACAGGUAUGCUACUGGUGAGGUAUACGAGGGUUGCUUCAAUGACGGCCAGCGCCACGGCUA